rnacentral:rRNA from 1 species
UGGGGAAUAUUGCACAAUGGGCGCAAGCCUGAUGCAGCCAUGCCGCGUGUGUGAAGAAGGCCUUCGGGUUGUAAAGCACUUUUGUCCGGAAAGAAAUGGCUCUGGUUAAUACCUGGGGUCGAUGACGGUACCGGAAGAAUAAGGACCGGCUAACUACGUGCCAGCAGCCGCGGUAAUACGUAGGGUCCAAGCGUUAAUCGGAAUUACUGGGCGUAAAGCGUGCGCAGGCGGUUGUGCAAGACCGAUGUGAAAUCCCCGAGCUUAACUUGGGAAUUGCAUUGGUGACUGCACGGCUAGAGUGUGUCAGAGGGGGGUAGAAUUCCACGUGUAGCAGUGAAAUGCGUAGAGAUGUGGAGGAAUACCGAUGGCGAAGGCAGCCCCCUGGGAUAACACUGACGCUCAUGCACGAAAGCGUGGGGAGCAAACAGGAUUAGAUACCCUGGUAGUCCACGCCCUAAACGAUGUCAACUAGUUGUUGGGGAUUCAUUUCCUUAGUAACGUAGCUAACGCGUGAAAGUUGACCGCCUGGGGAGUACGGUCGCAAGAUUAAAACUCAAAGGAAUUGA